CUGGCUCUCUCUCGCUAGAGGGAUGCCACCGCCCUGUCCUCCCGUCCUCGGCGUUGCCUUCCCCUCCCUCUUUCCCACUGACGCCUUGAAAACCCUUAUUUGCGCAUUCACUCACGCUUGAGGUCACUCUCUGAAAGAGAACGAAGUAAUUUUCUGAAGGGAAGCUGCAGAAUAUGGAAAACAUAUAUUGGAGCUACAUGGACAGAGGAUCACAUGAAGCCAAGAGUUGAAGACCAGCCUGGGUAACACAGUGAGACCUCCUCAUCUCAAAAUAACCCAGUGUGGUGGUCCAGCAUGGGUGACAGAGACCCAUCUCUAAAAUUAAUAAACAAAUAAAUCUCUA
rnacentral:sRNA from 1 species